GGGCAAAUCAACAUGUGGGACAUGUGGGGAAGGUCGGUGGGAGGCCACCGACCCUGGAACCGCCUUUGAUGUGGGGUUGGGCGACCCCACUUCUGGGCCUCUGGACCCACCAGCAGUGUCCACAGGAGUCCCUUAUGUCGGUGGACUAGGUGGCACACCUGGGUCCCACCAAAGAGGGGUCGGGCGACCCCCUCCCUGUGGGCCCAGGGUGUCACCUGUUGUCCCCUCGAUCUCCUCUUGAUGAUUCUGAUGUUGGCUUUGUCAAAUAAUGUCUUGAAUUUGUUGUUCCUGCAUAAACAAGCUAAUAGUACAAGUGGAACUAGUUAUGGAUAAAAUAUGUUCAUGUCAUGUCAUUUCCCCUUGCAACCGAGGCAUGUUGACGGUGUUUUGUAUGUGGAUUUCUAUGGUAUAUCCACCGUCAACAAGAUCCCCCAAGCUUAACCUUUGCUCGUCCCGAGCAAACAAUCAAACUUAGCCUCGGUGGAUCAGGUAUUGUUACUAUGUUCACAUUUCAAGAGUACCAUGUGUACAACAAAGUUCUUCUCUUUGCAUGAAAAAUUUAGCUAUGUAAACUUACCCCUAUUACCUUAGUCCCUUAUGGGGCUUAUGGCUUUUCCUUUGUCUUAGGUGGUUGAGAGACAGAAUAGUUUGACUUGAGCACUAACUUUCUCAUUCUUAGCAAGUUUCAUAUCAGAGGUUUUGUGAUAUUUUCAAAAGAAAGCUUAAAUGUUCCUCUUAUGGUUCUCUCAUGUCACUCAAAUGGUGUAUGAUUCCUCACCAAGGAAUAUGGUAAGAGUUGCCUUCUCUAUUUCAUCCUAUUUCUAAAAGGCUUAUGUGGAGUUCAAGGUAGGGAUGAAAGGAGAUAGCAUACUUACUUUGCAUAUAUUGCGAAGUCAAAGCUCGGAUCCUUGAAGAGAAGUGUCAUACUCCCAGAUCAAGAUGUGCAAGUGUGAUAUAUGGUGGACUAGGUUGCUCCUUUAUUUGAUAGACUCUCUAUGUAUUGAGACAUGGCUAGCUUUUUUUUUCUCUUUUUUUUUAUAUAUAUAUGAGCUUUCAUGUGCUCAAUUUUCUUUUUCUGUGGACUUGCAUAUGUCCAUCUUUUUAUUUCAUUUUGCCUAGCCUUUUGAUGUCUCAUUUACCAAAUAAUGCUUAGAGAGAUAUUCUAACAUUUAGAGUAUGGAGCAACCUAUUUAGUGGAUGCGAAAUACAUGUGGUUGCGUACUUCCAGUGUAGAAGCAGCAUAUAUAUAUAUGUGGUGUGUACGUGAUAUUGAUCUUAGGAGCAUGAAAAGUCUCUUAACAAGGGUCAACAAGACUUGACGACACUCAACACAAAGCAAAUAGCUUAUGUGGAAAGAUUGCAAUUAUGUAAAGUAGAUAUGGCUGUGGUAGGAAUUCAUCACCAUUGAGGAACAAUUAAGGUUUUGAUCAUUUUAAGAAUAAAUCUCUAAUAAUCAUGCAUGCUUAGAAAAAUAUUAUAGUAGCUCUUGUCUUACUAUCUCAUGUCCCACAACAACUUAGACUUAGUUCUAGCACUUGCAACCCACAAAGUUUUUAGGUUCAUGGCAGUUUAAGUGAGCUAAGUGAUCCAUACUUAGAGAAAUACUAAGUUGUAUACUAGGUACUAGAGAAACAUUAACAAGCAACUAGUCAUCAUUUCCAUGAGGGAUAUAAACAUACAUGAAGCAUAUAUGCUAAAGGGAAAUGCUAAUAAAUAUUUAUUUUUUUUUUAAGUAAGAAUGAUAAAAUGCAUGAAAAUAAAUAGGAUAGAAUACUUACCUUAGUGGGGGAGAGGAUCUCCCCCAAGCUAGAUCUUCGCUCACUGUGGUGGCGGGAAAUUUUGGUACCAUCCAGCCCAGCGUUGUGCGUCUUCCUCUCGCACACGUCGGAUAUGUUGGCCG
rnacentral:lncRNA from 1 species